UGGGGCGUCGCCAAGUGGUAAGGCACCGGGUUUUGGAUCCGGCAUUCGCAGGUUCGAAUCCUUCCGCCCCAGCCA
rnacentral:tRNA from 3 species